UACGGAAGGUGCAAGCGUUGUCCGGAUUGACUGGGUGUAAAGGGCGCGUAGGCGGAGAUGUAUGUCGGGAGUGAAAUCGUGCGGCUUAACCGUACAAUUGCUUUCGAAACUACAUCCCUUGAGUGCAGAAGGGGUAGAUGGAAUUCCUGGUGUAGCGGUGGAAUGCGUAGAUAUCAGGAAGAACACCGGAGGCGAAGGCGGUCUACUGGUCUGUAACUGACGCUGAGGCGCGAAAGUGUGGGGAGCAAACAGG
rnacentral:rRNA from 1 species